rnacentral:rRNA from 1 species
UUUUAAGAAACUAAAAUAGUUAUUUAAUAAAUUAUAAGAAUUAUUUUGAUAGAAUAUAAAUAUAGGAACUAAAUUUAUAAUUCUAUUAAACUUUAGGAAUUAAAAAGAAUUUUUACAGAACAUUAUCGUGUGUGAUCUAAUAUAUUAGUUAGAUUUAGGUUUAGGAUUUAGAAUUUAAGGUUAAAUUUUAUAUUAAUCAUAAAUAUUUUUUUGAUAUACAGGAGACACCUGCUGAAGCAGUAGCAAGGAAGAGGAAAACCAGGCACCUAGAUUAAUUUCGCAAGAAUUUAUUUCAAUUAAAUAAAUUAGUAUCAUUAGUUAUUUGUUGAUUUAAGCUAAUAAUUUAAUCUAAUUAAAUUUUUAUUCUAAUAUUGAUGAUAAAUAUUAGGCUUAAAAAUAAAAUUUAUAAAUUAUAGCCCCUCGAAAUUUAUAGAUAUUAUAUUGUUGAACGAUGUAUUUUUCUUUAUUUUAAAUAAAAUUUUAAUAACUUUUAAGCUCAUUUAUUUUAAGAAUAUAAUAUAAAAUUUUUAACUAAUCAAGAUAUUUAUAUAUUUUUGAUUUGAAAAAAUUUAUCUAAGUCCUGCAUAAUAUAAAACAGCACAGCACGAUGGAUCUAAACAUAGGUGCCUGUUCAUAUUGGAACUUUGAUAGGAGAUGUUUGAAUUCAUGUUUUAUAGCAAGCAACUAAUAAUGAUGCUCUUGGGUUGGUGCCUGGCAUGAUGUUGUGCUUGACAUUUUUGCACUAUCUAAAUAUAGACUCUGCUCUCACAUUCCAUGCCUCUUUGCUUUACUUAUAGAUGUUACUACAGCUCUCAGUCCAUAUUAAUAUACUACAUACUGAAUCUUAACUAGAUAAAUUUAUCUUGUAUGGCUAUAAAAAUAUAAUUUCUGUAAGUGUAAGUGAAAAAGAAUAUCCAUAUUCAAAAGAGAAUAGUCUUUUACCAAUAAAGUUAGACUAUUUAAUAUCAAUAGAGAACAAUUUAUCAACCCAAAUCACCAUAUAAGGUUCCUAAAUAACCGCUCAGUGAUAAAGGAAGUGGGAGUUCAUAGACAACCAGUAAGUUUGCCUAGAAGCAGCAACCUUUUAAAGAGUGCGUAAUAGCUCACCUAUCAAGCGCUCUCGCGCCAAAGAUGAAGGGGGCUAAGCGAUCUGCCGAAGCUGUGAGAUUUUUUUUUUAAGUUUUAUAUCUUAUUAUAUAUUAAACGUAAUAUAAAAAUUAUCGGUAGGGGAGCCUUCCGCUUUAGAGAGAAAUACCUCGCUUAAGCAGGUGGUAGACGAAGCGGAAGUGAGAAUGUUAGCUUGAGUAACGAAAACAUUGGUGAGAAUCCAAUGCCCCGAAAACCUAAGGGUUCCUCCAUAAAGGUCGUCUAGGGAGGGUUAGUCAGGGCCUAAGAUCAUAUCAAAAUGCGCAAUUGGUUAUUGAGGGACGGUGGAGGCUAGGUUAUCCAAAAAUUAUGGUUAUUGGUUUAAAGGGUAAGGAUAAAUUCAUUAAAUAUGGGUCAUAAGGGGUAGAGUAAAUAUCUCGAGCUAAUAUAUGAAUAAUAAGUGCUUUUGUUCUUAAGGCGUAAGUAACUAAUGUCAUCUCCUAGGAAAAGCUAUAAAUAUCUUAAACAAGAAAGGAACCUGUACCCAAAAUCAACACAGGUAGGUAGGUUGAAAAUACCUAGGGGCGCGAGACAACUCUCUCUAAGGAACUCGGCAAAAUAGCCUCAUAACUUCGAGAUAAGGGGUGCCUCUUAAAUAGAAGAGGUCGCAGUGGCCAGGCCCGGACGACUGUUUACCAAAACCAUAGGUCUCCGCAAAGUCGUAAAGACCAUGUAUGGGGGCUGACGCCUGCCCAGUGCCGAAAGGUUAAAGAAGUUAGUGGUCUUGAUUUACAACAGGGUAGCUAGCAACCUAAGCCCCGGUGAACGGCGGCCGUAACUAUAACGGUCAUAAGGUAGUGAAAUUCCUUAUCGGAUAAGUUCCGACCCGCACGAAUGGCGUAACAAUAUGGGCGCUGUCUCAGAGAGGGACUCAGUGAAAUAGACCUGUCUGUGAAGAUGGGGACUACCUGUACCUGAACAGAAAGACCCUAUAAAGCUUUACUGUUCCCUAGGAUUGAUUUUAAGCUUUUCUUGCGCAAAUUAGGUGGAAGGCGACAAAAAUACUUCUUAUGUGAAGGAUCGAGCCAUUAUUAAGAUACCACUCUGGAAGAGCUAGAUUCCUAACCUUGUAUCAUAAAUUAUGGCCAAGGGACAUUCUCAAGUAGACAUUUUAUAUGGAGCGUAGGUCUCCUAAAAAGUAACGGAGGCGCGCAAAAAUUUCUUUGAGCCAGACGGGAAUUGACUUUAUACGUGUGAGGGCACAAAGAAGCUUGACUGCAACACCCACUUGUCAAGCAGGGACGAAAGUCGGCCUUAGUGAUCCGACGGUGCCGAGUGGUAGGGUUAUCGCUCAACGGACAAAAGUUACUCUAGGGAUAACAGGCUGAUCUUCCCCAAAAGUUCACAUCGACGGGAAGGUUUGGCACCUCAAUGUCAGCUCGUCGCCACUUGGGGCUAUAGUAGGUUCCAAGGGUUGGGUUGUUCGCCCAUUAAAGCGGUACAUGAGUUGGGUUCCGAACGUCGUGAGACAGUUCGAACUAUAUCCGGUAUAGGUGUUAGAGCAUUGAGAGGACUUUUCCCUAGUACGAGAUGACCGGGAAGGACGCACCUCUGGUGUACCAAUUAUUGUGCCAUCAGUAAACACUUGGUAAGGCAAGCAAAAUAUGUCUAUAACAAGUAUUUAUCAUACACAUGCAUUAUAACAAGCAUUUAUCAUACACAAGUUAUACUAUAUUAAGAUCAGAUUUCCAAGACUUUUAAUGUCACCAAAGCGAUGUAUAAGCCAUAAAGCCCAAACAUUUUGGACAUUGAAUG